UCUCCGCUACUUGUACCACAGUUGAACUGGAUCAAGCCUCGCGAGGGUUGGACUGAAUAUUCUGUAUAAGGUAUGCAUGGUUACAUUUUAAGCAGUUAAGCAAUUCAACUGCAACUGUUUUCUGGACAAAUGUUGUUACGUCAUAGCCUAUUACUUAGGUCACCUUGCCGAUUAAAUGUACUUUUAGGGUAGUCAUUCUGAAGUAAAAAAAAAUGCCAUUGCAGUCAUGGUGGAUAUGCAUACACUACAUUAUAUCUUUUUCCAGCUGUUCUUCAAUCUUAACAAGGAAGACAAGGAAGUAAGCUCAGGAAAGCCACAUUAAUUAGAACCUGGCAACACUUAGCAGGAUAACUAGUUGAUGAGAUACAACAGACAUGCAGUUUAGACCGGGGCCUUUCUUAAUGGGAAGGUGAUGGAUAAGGGCCUUUUCCUGGUUACGCUUCCUGAUCCAUCUGCCACCUGAUCUGUCAUCUGCCAUCUGUCUGAGUUCCACCAUCACCUCCAGAAACCUCCAUGAAAAUGUACUCCACACUACCAUCUGAACCAGACUCAAAAGGAAGUGUCAAUCCCCCAAAUUCCAAAUGAGAUUGUUUCAUUCAAAGGGUCGCAGUCACUUAAAUUAAAGAUAGACAAACAAGAUCUAUCAUUGGGUGAUGGCUAUUUUGAGGGUUCCACUCCAACUUAUUCAGUGCAUGAUUAUCUUAUGCAGCCUCAAGUGAAAAGCAGGCAUUUGUCCUCCAGUGAAAUUAAAUUAUUUCAGUCAAACAGCAUUUUCUAUCUCUUGUGCAAGAAUGAUUUGUUUACGUUUUAACUGAUUUAUGAUGGGCUAGAUAAUAUGACAGCACAUAAACAUACAAGUCAUAAACAUCCAUUUUCUAAAAAAAAAACACAAAUAUUUUGAGUUUCUUGGAGUUAAUAGGGUUAUCUUUCCUUUUUAGAUAAUCUUUUGAUGUUUUGAAUGAAAACUCAUCUCUAACAGUCUGUGACCAUGACUGUUUAGUGAUUUGAAACUUUAAAGGAUCCUUCAAGCACAUGAAAUUUGGACAAUUCCUAUGAUAGACAGCUUGUGUACAAACAUCUCUCUGAGUUGUGAUUUUUUUUUUAUUAUAAUUUUUUUGUGACUUCUGUUUUCCCCUCUCCUCCUGAAUCCACGGUCACCAAAGCAAUGAGGGCCAAGUUUGGAGCAAAGCGAGGCGACAGGAGACGUCAAAUGGGAUGGCUGGGCAGCUCGAGGAGUGGAGGAAGAGGAGUAAGGGGGAAAGGGGCUAUACAAAUCAACCUUCUGCCUUGGACAUUUUACUGAAAAUGAAGUGCUGAUAGCCAUUUAAUUUCAGCUAUUUCAGGAAGUGGUGCUCUUGUUCUUGGAAAUCUAGGGACCGCAAGCUUAUUUUUUUUUGUAGCUCGAUUCACAUAUUCAUAUCCAUGUACAUGUGAACGUGUCAGUAAAGCAAGGUUAUUGUCAACUAGAGAAAUUAGACUGUGUUAAAGCUUAUAGGACGCAUAUGGAUAUUGUAGUAAAUAUUCAGGAAAAGGCCUAUGUACGACUGUGCAACAGAAGACCAUUCCCCAGUCAGCUUGAUUAAGAAUGAUUGCUCAACUGUUAGCUAUGGUGGGUCACUUAAUAAUACAAAAAUAAUUCUGGUUCAUCCUUCGCUAUAUCAACAUGCCUUGGAUUUUUACAGUCUCUGUGUGGCCUCCCCUUGAUAUUAUGAUGCUCAAAGCGUGCAUAACAGCUUUAUGUUUAGCACUAAAAUGUAAUGAGCUAUCGUACAUGGUACAUACCAAAAUGUUGAUCAGACACCACAGAGACGUUGGAUGCUGGAUUCAGUGUGUGUAUAAAAACACUGAUAUAAAAAGCAAUCAAGAACACAUGUAUGUUAUGGGAAAGAGAGGGAAAGAUUGUGUGUGUACGUUUGAGAGAGAAUGUACGUGUGUGUUACCCGCUACAGAUGUGUUGUUCCAUGUAGAGAAAAGUGUUGGUCUGUUCUCUCCAGGGGUAAUCAACUUCACACAGACUCACCAAAGUAGGCCAGAACUGAGAACACCUCCACACCUUGCUUCUCUUAGGACUUGUAUCCCCCAUACGGCCAACAAGGCUUCCUGCACCGCAUUAGGGAGAGAUUUCCUACGGUGUGUAAAACAUAUGUAGAGGUCACCGUGGCCCUCCAGGGACCCUGUGCUGAGCUGAUACCCAGCCCCUUCACUGCUGACGGAAUGGGGGAGCUGGGGGAACUGGGAAGAGACCAACACCAGAACGAGGCCAGGAGAAGAGUUUAAUUGGCUGGUCUGGGACCAAGAGGCUAACUGGGAGGAUGUAUGCUGGGAGUAAUGUACUGUACACACGCAGAGAAGUGAAAGAAUAUGAGCAAAUUAAGGUGGUGGCGUACAGGUGAAAUCCCUCCUCAUAUGAUGGGAGAGAGACAGAAAAUACUGCACCAAGAUCCUCUGCACCGCAUGGUGGAGAAACUGCAGCAAAAACCAUCAGGCCAAAACACACCAGAAUUGGCAGGUGGGUUGGAAACUUCAUGGCACACACUGGCCUCAAGGUCGUGCAGUAAUAAUCAAGUGUACGUUUAUGUUUACGUACAUGGAGCUUGUUAUGCUUUACAUUUUGUUGUAAAGGAAACUGAAGCUAGAAAAUAUGCAUAUACAACUGCAUAUGAAGGAUUCAACAUACUACCAACUCAGUAUGUACGUUAUCACAUUCUGUUUUGAUUUGCAUUUUACACAACAUCCCAACUGAUAUGGGGUUGUAUUUGCUCUGUCACUGUCAAUAUUAUUCAUGUGCUGUUCCUGGUAUGUUUUGUUUUGCAUGGCUUGGGACUGUGGUGUAUUUUGGUGUCCCCCAGGAUCCACAUGUCUGUGAAUAGAGAUGUGUAAAUGGAAACACACAAAUACAGCACAGCAGUACUUUAGGCCUG